rfam:Roseovarius indicus strain B108 contig7, whole genome shotgun sequence.
AUCACCGACGCCAAGCUGCCCGACAUGCAGGCCGGCUGGGAAUCGAUGUGCUCGAAUGUCAUGGCCGGGCUCUCGGGUCUCAACAUGGUCUACGAGGCGG